AAAAUUACCCAAACACGAGCACUGACUUGGAAAUACUAAAUGCGGUAAGUGCUACUUGUUGGGGUACUUUUA
rfam:Takifugu rubripes genomic scaffold, scaffold_144